rnacentral:rRNA from 1 species
UACGUAGGGUGCAAGCGUUGUCCGGAAUUAUUGGGCGUAAAGAGCUCGUAGGCGGUCUGUCACGUCGGCUGUGAAAACCCGGGGCUCAACCCCGGGCCUGCAGUCGAUACGGGCAGACUAGAGUGCGGUAGGGGAGACUGGAAUCCCCAGUGUAGAGGUGAAAUUCGUAGAUAUUGGGAGGAAUACCGGUGGCGAAGGCGGCCAUCUGGGCUGCAACUGACGCUGAGGCGCAAAAGCGUGGGGAUCAAACAGG